rnacentral:rRNA from 1 species
CACGUAGGGCGCAAGCGUUGUCCGGAAUUAUUGGGCGUAAAGAGCUCGUAGGCGGUCUGUUGCGUCCGCUGUGAAAACUCGGGGCUUAACCCCGAGCCUGCAGUGGAUACGGGCAGACUAGAGGUAGGUAGGGGAGAAUGGAAUUCCCGGUGUAGCGGUGAAAUGCGCAGAUAUCGGGAAGAACACCCGUGGCGAAGGCGGCACUCUGGGACGGUACUGACGCUGAGACGCGAAAGCGUGGGGAGCGAACAGG